UAGCAGGUUUUCUCUGACACCAUACUGGCUAAGAAAAGGAGAUGCUGCCUCAUUACUGCCAGGCUGUGUCAUUCUUUCAAAGGUUGUGCCCUGCCCCUUUCCCUCCCGGAAAACACUGAGCCCACUUGCUACAACCGCUGAAGCCAUGUGCCUAGAGCCCGCGCUCUGCAACAAGAGAAGCCCCCGCGGUGGGAAACCCGUGCAGUGCAACUGGAGAAUAGCCCCCACUUGCUGCAACUACAGAAAGCCCACAUGCAGCAGCGAAGACUCACCACAGCCAAAAAAUGAAUAAUGAGAGAUCAGCCCUGGGAUUUCUUCGGAAGGAAUGAUGCUAAAGCUGAAACUCCAGUACUUUGGCCACCUCAUGCGAAGAGUUGACUCAUUGGAAAAGACUCUGAUGCUGGGAGGGAUUGGGGGCAGGAGGAGAAGGGGACGACAGAGGAUGAGAUGGCUGGAUGGCAUUACCGACGCAAUGGACGUGAGUCUGAGUGAAUUCCGGGAGGUGGUGAUGGACAGGAACGCCUGGCGUGCUGUGAUUCAUGGGGUCGCAAAGAGUUGGACACGACUGAGCAACUAAACUGAACUGA